rnacentral:tRNA from 1 species
UCUCUGGUGGCUCAGAUAGUAAAGAAUCUGCCUGCAAUGCAGGAGACCCAGGUUCAAACUCUGGCUCAGGAA